rnacentral:lncRNA from 1 species
CCCAUCCAAUCCUUUAGAGCCUUCAUUCCAACCUUACCAUCUUCAAAUUGACAGUCUCUCCUCACACCUCUUUCCUGUCACAUCUACUGGUUUUUCUUCUUAAUGUUUUUAUAUUCUUUCACCUAAUUAAUUCUAUUUAUUCUUAGAAAUUCACUUCAGACAUCGCUUCCUUCUAGAAACCUCCCUGGACUUGGACCCAGUGUGAAGGAAUGUGUCAAGGACCGGGAUCCCCUUCUGCUUACCUUCCAGCAUUUUCAUUCACUAUUUGCAGUUAAAACUAUAUGACAAUUGUUUCACUUCUUUGAACCACAUGUCCAUUUGCCUAUCCUCACACCUUCACAUAAUCAAACUAUAAAUUCUUUGAGGUCAGGGACACUGGCCACCAAUUCUUUACAUGUAAAUUAAACCUAGUGCAGUUUCGUGCAAAUGGUAGAUGUUCAGUAAGUGGUGUUUACAUAGACAAAUGAAGUUAUUUGGUUAAUUUUUGACUAUAUACACUACCCCCCUCCCUUUUCUAUGUGUCUUUUCCCACCAGAGUUUUUCAAGGUUUUUAAUGACUGGCUACAUUAGCAAAAAUAAUUUGAUGUCACUUUCUACUUUAUUUGGCCAAUUCUUCAAAGGAGCAUCAAGGGACAGGGAGAAGCUAAAAGAGAGAAAGAGAGUAAAGGGAAAUUCAGGAGUGUCUAAUUCCAAGCUCCUAUGUUCUACUGAAUUGUGGACUAUUCUCUAAGGAGAAAGUAAGUAUAAACAGAGUGAGUAUACUUUCUCUGCACACCUACAAGGACAAAACAAAAUGCAGUAAGUGUUAAGUACAGAGAUAGAAGUACGUGACUCAUGGAUGGCCAUCCUCUUCCCAUACCAAGUACAGAUUUAGCCUAUGACCAUGAUAAGCUUAUCAAUAUGAGGUAGCCCUGAAGAAUGGAUAAAUAUGCCAUCUAAAGAAUUGAAGCUAUCAAAACAUCUGGUUUUACAAAAGUUAAUGUCUCUCCAUUUCUUUAAGUGAAGAUUUAUUACAAUUAAGCUAAUGGACAUUUUGAAAUAGAAAGCAAAUUUCAGAAAUAAAACAUCAAAAUACAUGUUGCCUAUUGACA